UUUCAUUAACCCUCAUUAUCUUAUCUUUUGUAUUGUGCAUUUUUACAUAGAUAGACUCGUUAUUUGUAUUCUGCAUUUUAGGACCCUUGAAGCAAUAGUCAAAAAGGAUCUCAUCAUCCCAUCUCAAUUGUGGUCCAGGUCUUUCCAAAACUUGGCAGAUGGCUCGUCUUUCUCAUCUUCCUUACCGUUGCCGAUCCAUGAGCUCCACCUCGGAAUUUUGGCUUUAUAUAUUUAAGAAUCCGAUGUUCAGCGCGGGGUGUGGUCUUGCUUCUGUUUUAAUUGGGAUUGCUACAGAAUGAAUGUUGAAGUGAGUGUUGAUAUGGCUGAGCCGCAAAGAGGAAGGAAUCUGUUGUGAGAGGUUUAUGAGAACAGUUUCAAUAAUCUAUUUCAGCUUCUCUCGCCUGUUCGCGAUCCUGUUCUCACUCCCAUAUCUGAUUUUGCUUGUUCCACAAAAUUUGUAAUAGAAUCUUUGGCUAUGUUUUUCUAUAUUGCUUAUUUUUCUUUCUUUUUGCACCUGUGUUUAGUAGUUUUUUUGCCUUGGAAUUUGAAGGCUGGGGGCACUGCUUGGAUUAGAGGAGAGGUGCGGGUUUGGCUUCGGAUGGACCGCUUGUGGUUUCUUGCCUGUCCUCACUGUCACCAGCCUUAUGAUUUUGCCGAUACUUUGGGGAUUGUGUGCAAGUGUUGUGGUCGAGAAAUGUAUAUUUUCCCUAGAUAUUCUUGUUCUAUUGUUCUCCUGCUACUAUUUGUCCAUGAUGUUGGUCUAGCUUUAUGCAUGAUUGCUGUUGAUUGCAGGGUCUAUAUUGCUCUGUCAAUUAAAGAUGACUCUGACUCUAUGAAUAUUCUGGUUAUUGGCGAUGAAGCUGUGCGCCUUAUUGGUCUUACUGCUUUUCAUCUUUAUGCACUCGAUGAACAAGAUGUAGUGUAGCUUGGUUUUUUUUAUACCUCUGCUAUGUUUGCAUCUAUGAUUCCGUUUAUGCUAAUGAUGUUGUUUGAUUCUUCUCUUUCUGCAACAUGCUAGAUUGAGCUAUCACGUUGCUAAUGAGGUCAAAGGAAAGAGGCUUUUGUGCUAUAUUAAGCAUUCAUCUGAUCAUAUUAGGAAAACCACUUCUGUCAAGUUUACUGUUGUUACUUUUUAUGUUGCCUAGCCUCUUUCGAGAUGUAGCUUGCUAUUUUUUUGGUGUAAGGAUGCUUUCAAUAUGUGUUUGGAGCACUUUAUGCUCUUGUUUGUUGUUUUGCAUAUGGACUCUUUUGUUGUCAUCUUGAUUCGAAGAAUCCAAUAUUCUCUGCU